UCUCCACCUGCCUCUGGAUGAUACUCAUGAGAAAAUACGGAAAUGCUGAAAAUAUUCACAUGCCCACAGAAUGCGGCAGAAAAUUGAGUUUCAGCACCAGAGACAGUGACUGCAAGUGGAAUCGACUCUUUCCAUUUCUCUACAGAGGAGAAUUUUCAAAUGCUAGCAAAUUCAAUUGAUCAGAGCAACCAGCCUACACGUGACAGACCUUUACAGAUUUAAGAGCAAUGGAUCCUGCUACAGCUGGAACCUAGGAGAGGCUACUGUUAGUACAGAGCAGAGUGUCAAGGACUCUCCCAAUUUGUCGACAUCCUUUCUGCAGUGGGGAACCCCAAAACUGGGCCUUUUCAGAGGCCUUGAGGCAGCAGUACUGGAUCUAAAGAAUACUCUGAUUUCUCCAUCAACCAGACAGCAGGGCUUUUCUUGAAGACAUCUCACAGCAAAGUG